rnacentral:rRNA from 1 species
UACGUAGGGUGCGAGCGUUAAUCGGAUUUACUGGGCGUAAAGCGUGCGCAGGCGGCCCGUUAAGACAGGUGUGAAAUCCCUGGGCUCAACCUAGGAAUUGCGCUUGUGACUGGCGGGCUCGAGUACGGUAGAGGGGGAUGGAAUUCCGCGUGUAGCAGUGAAAUGCGUUGAUAUGCGGAGGCACACCGAUGGCGAUGGCAAUCCCCUUGACCUGUACUGACGCUCAUGCACGAAAGCGUGGGGAGCAAACAGG